GUGACGAAGCGACGCCGCGUGCGGGAGGAAGGCCUUCGGGUUGUAAACCGCUGUCGGGAGUUAAGAAAUGCAAGGAUGUUAAUAGCGUUCUUGCUUGACAUAAAGGCUCCGGAGGAAGCCACCCGGGCUAACUCUGUGCCAGCAGCCCGCGGGUAAUACAGAGGCGGCCAAAGCGUUGUUUCGGAAAUUAUUUGGGCGUAAAAGAGCACGUAGGCGGCUUGUGUAAGUCGGUUUGUGAAAAGCCUUUCCGCUCAAACGGAAAGAACGGCAUUCCGAUACUGCAUGGGCUUGAGUGUUGGGAGGGGAGAGUGGAACUUCUGGUGGAGCGGGUGAAAUGCGUAGAUAUCAGAAGGAACCACCGGCGGGCGAAGGGCGACUCUCUGGUCCAUAAACUGACGCUGAGUGUGCGAAAAGCUAGGGGGAGCAAAACGGGGAUUAGAUACCCCCGGUAGUCCCUAGCCCGUAAACGAUGGGGCACUAAGUAGAGGGGGUUUUGAUUAUCUCUCUGCCGGGAGCUAACGCAUUAAGUGCCCCCGCCUGGGGGAGUACGGCCCGCAAGGGCUAAAAACUCAAAAAGAAUUGACGGGGGGCUCGCACAAGCGGUGGAGCAUGUGGCUUAAUUCGAUGCAACGCGAAGAACCUUACCGGGGUUUGACAUGGUAGAAGUAGAAGCCUGAAAAGGUGACGAACGGUAUCCCAGUCCGUAACUAUCACAGGUGUUGCAUGGCUGUCGUCAGCUCGUGUCGUGAGACGUUGGGUUAAGUCCCCUAACGAGCGAAACCCCUUGUCUUUAGUUGCCAACAGAUAAUGCUGGGCACUCUAAAGAAACUGCCGUCGUCAAGACGGAGGAAAGGUGGGGAUGACGUCAAGUCAUCAUGGCCCUUAUAUCCCGGGCUGCACACGUGCUACAAUGGUCGGUACAAAGGGAUGCUAAGCCGUAAGGUGGAGCGAAACCCAGAAAGCCGAUCCCAGUUCAGAUUGGAGGCUGAAACCCGCCUCCAUGAAGUAGGAAUCGCUAGUAAUCGCGGAUCAGCUACGCCGCGGUGAAUAUGUUCCCGAGCCUUGUACACACCGCCCGUCAAGCCACCCAAGCAAGAUGCACCCAAAAUCACCGGCCUAACCUGAAAAGGAAGGAAGUGCCUAAGGUGUGUUUUGUGAGGAGGACUAAGUCGUAACAAGGUAGUCGUAGGAGAACCUGCGGCUGGAUCACCUCCUUUCUAAGGAGUAAUCAUAUGCCUGCUUCGCACGCAGGACUUCUAAUUUUAGGGAUCGUGGGCCCAGAGGGAUUGAGAUAAUCUUGGGCCUAUAGCUCAGUUGGUUUAGAGCAUUCCCCUGAUAAGGGAAAGGUCAGUGGUUCGAGUCCACUUAGGCCCACUAUCUUGUAGCAAAAGAUUAGAAAGAGGGGAUGUAGCUCAAUUGGGAGAGCGCUGCCCUUGCAAGGCAGAGGUUAGCGGUUCGACCCCGCUCAUCUCCACCACUUUAAAUUGUUAUAAAAAAUUUAAGGUGUAAAAUUAUGUUGUUUUGUUCUUUGAAAAGUGAAUACUUAACGGGUAGCAAUUAGAUCCUCAAUUGUGUGUGAUUAGAAGAUUACAUAAAUUGUCAAGCUAUGAAGGGUACAUGGUGGAUGUCUAGGCGCUGAGAGAUGAUGAAGGACGUGGAAGACUGCGAUAAGCUUCGGGGAGUUGUCAAACAAACUGUGAUCCGGAGAUUU
rnacentral:sRNA from 1 species